UGGUGAGGAGCCCGGACUCGGUUCUGUGCAUGUCCUCCGACGGGCUGUCAGGUGGAGAGAACGGAGGCGCACGGACUGACGGAGGGGAUGGAGGGAGGGAUGGAGGAGAGCGAGCGCGCAGGCGCACUGCGGACGAGAGGAUAUAGACUUUACGUCCCGUCAGCGCAUUUGGACGCACGAUGUUGGCAUCGUGAAAUCCUCCUGACAUCAUGCUCCCACCGUGCACAGGCCUCUGUCACGACCAGACACCGAGCUGAAUUGCGCAUGCGUGUUACCGGCGGAACCCCCUCGAUCCGGUAGCCCCAAUUAAAAACGACGAAGAUGCGGAAAAAGAGUUGAGGGAUGCGCCUCAGCUGCCGGACGACCGCGGGGAAGCACAGCUGCGGACACCGGACUCCUCUUCUCCCUCUCAUGCUGCUGUUGUCGCCCGCGGAGCCUCCAGAGGGGCAGCCCUGACUCCUGGAGCUGUCCGAGGUAGGAGUCUCUCCGCCCCGGGGGGCGUCCUUCACUUCAGCGGGGCUGCCGCCCGCGUCUCCUCCUCCUGCUGUCCGCCGACACCCGGAAGUGCAGCAGUCAGUGUGUCACAGAGUCACUGAGCUUUAUCAACCACGGUCUGUGGUCAGUGUAUUUGCUGAUACGAAGAGCGAGUCAACAUGGCGUCAAAGCAACUCAGUCGCAAGGAGCGAAGGAAACUGUACACGUCACUGGCCGGCGAGCUGGUGAUCAUGGCCGGGACCGUCAUGCUGGCCUACUACUUCGAGUACACCGACACCUUCAGCGUGCACGUGCAGGGCUUCUUCUGCUACGACACCGCCUACACCAAGCCGUACCUGGGACCGGAGGAGAGCAGCGCCGUCCCGCCCGUGCUGCUCUACGCCGUGGUGGCCGGGCUGCCCACGCUGCUGAUCACGAUCACAGAGACUGUGCUGUUCCUGGUCCAGUACACAUCCAAAGAGUUCGACCGCUCGGAGAGGACGGUGGCCACGGGGGACUGCUGUUACCUCAACCCGCUGGUGCGCAGGACCUUCCGCUUCCUCGGAGUCUACACCUUUGGCCUCUUCACCGUCGACAUCUUCGUCAACGCGGGCCAGGUGGUGACGGGAAACCUCGCCCCCUACUUCCUGACGGUGUGUAAGCCCAACUACACGGCGCUGGGCUGCCAGCAGGCCCUGCGCUACAUCAGCCACCAGGAGGCGUGCACGGGGAACCAGGACGACAUCCUGCGCGCCCGCAAGACCUUCCCGUCCAAGGAGGCGGCGCUCAGCGUCUACGCCGCGCUCUACCUGGCCAUGUACGUGACCUGCACGGUGCAGGCGAAGGGAACCCGGCUGGCCAAGCCGGUGCUGUCCCUCGGCCUCACGUGUCUGGCCUUCCUCACCGGCCUGAACCGCGUGGCCGAGUACCGCAACCACUGGUCGGACGUGAUCGCCGGCUUCAUCAUCGGCACGGCCAUCGCCGCUUUCCUGGUGGUGUGUGUGGUCCAUAACUUCAAAGGCAAGCUGCUGCUGAGCGAGGAGGAGUCGUCGCCCCCCGCGGAGCAGCGGCCCAACGCGGCCAUGCUGAACAUGGGCCGGAUGGAGAGUCCGCUGGAGAAGUACAUCGCCUCGCAGGAGACGGAUGACGAAGACGAAGGGUCCUUCCACAUUAAGGAGCGUCUCUCGGCCUUCCUGCGCUGGCUGCGGGGGCUCGACUGGUUCCGGCGUCUGCGGAACAAAAGGCAACAGAGCGACCGGCCAAAUGUCUCUGGACACGACUCUGCUGUUUGAUUCUUUUCCUGACGGGGGGAAACGUACGGGCUGAUAUUGUGCUGUGACGGUCUGGACCAGGCAGUCGUUGUGUUUUUUUUGUUAGACGUAUGUGAAAGCGGCUGUUAUUGUUUGCUUAUGCAUUAAACCAGUGCGGUAUGGGUUUGAACAGUGGGCUCCUGAAGGCAUCUUUGUCUCCGACACAUGCCGUCCUCCAGACGGACUUAUGGUGAUGUUGUCUCACGAACGUUGGAACGCAAACACGCCGGAUUAAAUGCCACAUGGCUGAUGAUGUUACUCAACAAGUGUGUGUGUGUGUGUGUGUGUGUGUGUGUGUGUGUGUGUGUGUGUGUGUGUGUGUGUGUUUGCGUUUGAAAGCUUGAAUCCAGGAGAAAUUAGUGUUCAAAGUUUCCCAGACCCAGGGCUGAAACCGAAUCGUGGUCCCGAUUUUUUGAAAGUUUGAAAUUUUCAAAAUGAUGCCAGGCAUGAAUUAGUGAACAACAACAACAUCAGCAGGAAGAACAUUGGCGGCUCUACCAAUGGACGAAUACGCGUCUCUGAGGUGAUAUCAUCCACAAACAGCCACGUGUGAGAUCAGCGUAGGAAGAUUACAGAUAAAUUCCUGUCAUUUUGGACAAAUUCAGUGUGUGUGUGUGUGUGUGUGUGAGGGUGUGUGUGGACAUAAUGGACUGUCAUUAAAGUUGCGUACUGGCUCUCAGUGACCGACAGAGACCUUUAAUAGCAACAACAGCACAAUAUCAGUCGGCGGGCUCAUCCAAACAUGUAUUUCUUGACAUUUAAGAGCGAUUCCGCUGUAUUACAACGCGGCUCUUAUUUUUUUUCGCGUUCCUCGCUUUAGUCGUCCGCACAAACAGAACUGGUCACCUGGCUGCUGGCGUCGCCCUGUCGGACCAUGUUUCCAGAUCACAGUGAAUCAUAGCCGAUAUAUAAACGAUGACCAUAUCUACAGAAAUGAGAGCCAAGGUGUAAUAAAGUGGUUUUCCUUCAUCACCAAACCGGCUUGUGUCCGAGAUCCAUUUGGCCGAGACGAAACCCUGUCCAGAGUAUUUGGCGCGUUUGGGUUGAAGUGCUCCUUCUGCUUGUCUCUUUGCAUCUGAGUGAAAUCCCUUGUCCGUUUCAGCUUCCGAUUCUCUUUUCAAACAACCCAGCGGCGCGCUUCUAUUUACUCGAGCCCGCUGUGUUCUCGUUUCCCUGCUUCCUCCAGCGAGAUGCGCUUUUAAGCAGUGAGAUGAGCGGGGGGAAAAAAUCAAAUAAAUAAAUGCACAGCUCUCCCGCAGCUGAUGAUUCAAUUCGCAGCCUCCCCGCCGAAAGAGCCUGCGCUCGGUUUGUCUGACAAAGAGCAGAAGAAGCUCACACUCUCACCUCGGUGACGACGGCCUCGGUGGAAAAUUUGCCCGCUCUAAAAAUAGCCCGGCCUGAAGACGCCCGGAAGCCAAACAAGCCACAGUGAACAAAGUGCGGCGGCAGGAAAGGAACCUCUGAAAUAAUAAAAAAAAAAGAAGAUGAAUCCUGUGUUAUUUUGUUUUUGCUGAUAUUUUUCCUUCUCCAGCGGAGAGGAACGAUACGUCUCUACCACAUGCUGGGCGACGCCAUACUCAUAUGUUCAUCACGAGCUGAGAAUAAAAUUGAUGCGUGAAAUGAGAUAAUGAUUGAAUAUAUUUUGAUGGGAAAAAAUGAAUUCUGCUUUGUAGGAAAUUGGACAGAUUACUCGUUGCCUUAUUAUUUCUAGUAUUAUUUCUUGCUUUUUUUUUUAGAUACACAACAUGAGAAAACCACCACAUACGGGCGACAUGUCCUCCAAUAUAAAUGCUAAUAUUUCUCCUUUACUCAAAUGAAAAAGUAAAAAAAAAAAAAGAUCCAUAUCACACUAUUUGAUUUGUAUGUCUGACUGGCAUAUGUUGCACAGUUCAUGAACUCCGGCAUGCUGUGCUUUAUCGUCUGUUUUACUCUAAAUUGGCCCGUCAUUUCCAAAAAUGAACAUCACGCUGUGUUGAAGAAGACUUGACACGAGAGAUUGAGACGUAGAGUCAUUUCCCAUCGACUCUGAAUUCUUUUUGCAACCGGCGGAGUCGCCCUCUGCUGGUCACUCGAGAGAAGACAGGCUUUCGGGCACUUCCACAUUGGCUUCACUUACGUCCAUUUUUUAUAUAUAUAUAUACAUAUAUAUAUAUACAUAUAUAUGUAUACAUAUCCUACUUUUCCUGCUUCAAUUCUCAUCUCAGAUGAUUCUUUUAUCUGGAGUCUUCCCUCAUCCAUACAGACUCUUGGAGAAACAUCAUGAGAUGGUUUUGACUUCCAAGAUCUCCAGGAGCAGUUAUUGGAAUUAUCGGGGAUGAGGGAUUUGUCCAAAUCACAUCGCCUUCGCUGAGGUCACAUGACGUGGAGUCCGCUGUGUGGCAGACCCACUGGACGUCCACUCUCUUCACUGUCCAAUCCAGUUAAACGGAGCGCAGCGCUGAAGCCCCCAUUCUCUGUGUGUGUGUGUGUGUGUGUGUGUGUGUGUGUGUCUGCUCUGCGGCAUGUUGUUCUACGUUGUCUUUACCGGGUCCCUGUUGUCAUUUGCAGCUUCUUGUAUUUAAGGGAAAGGAAGAAGGAGAAUUUAAAAAGAAGAGUCCGCAGCAGGACAGGCCGCUUCUGCGUUCUCCAUCUAUGCACUUGCUCUGAAUCCUUGGCGAAGCCCCGGGACUUGUUGCACACUGUGGGACACUGGAUGAACAAGCGGGGGGCUGAAGUCACGCUCUACUCUGCCUAUGUCGAACACGUUCUCAUUGGUUUGCUUCUACUGUGUGUGGAAGAUGUGGAGGGUGAGACGGCCGUGAGUCAAACUGUCUGCUCAGAAAGACCAGAGAGAGAAAAACACGAUUUCCUCCUUUCGACUUUUGUUUUUGCCGUGAUGACAUCACUUUCACCGUCCCCCUCGAUCACUAAAAGAUGGCAGACGUUGGUUUACUGGUGAAAAUAGUGGGAAAUUCUUAUUUUUUUCUGUUGAUGGGGACCAAAACCAGACAUCAAACAAAAAUGAAUAUUGGACGUACACUCAUCAGGUGGAUUCAGACAAAACUCCAAAUGAAUACUAAUGCUGCUUUGUGUUUGCUGAAUGUGAAAGUAGUUAAACCAUCAAAAGUUUAGCCUUCCAAAGCCAGUGACAGGAAGUGUCUUUUCGGUUGUUUUGAUUUGUUGUUGGUGGAUUUCUUGCCCCCUAGUGGCCAAACAUGGAUAAUUGCAGCUUUAGCUGAUUAUUUAUUGUCUUUUGAUUAAGUUUAUUUAUUAUUAAUAUAUGAAUAAUAUAGUAGUUACUAUACUUAAAAGUUGAUUACACAUUUUGUAUAUUUGCAUUGCACCCUAACGUGUAUUUUUUCUUCAUAGCAAUAAGUGGACAGGCUUUCUUUUCCCGUCAGGAGAGAGAGGAGAAGAACGCAGUGAAGGUCAAAAUCUGUUGCCCCCCCCCCCCCCCCUUCAAAUCUCUAUUUUUGUAAUAAUCACAGAAGCACUUAUGAACAAGGACUCCGGGCAGGAACAUGCAAAAAAAAAAGGCAGCACUUUGAAUCAAAGCUGUAAACAACUCUCGCCAGCCAAUGUCUGUGGCUGCUUGAAAAAAAAAACAUCACAAAGAAUAUUCAGGAAAUUCUCAAAUAAAAAAUAUAUAUUGUUGGCUCUAAUGUGCAUCGCAGCAGCUGAUCCCGGCUUAUUUAAAGGUAAAGAGAAAUGUAAAAAUAUAUAUGUUGAAAUUAUUAAAAAAAUAUACAGUAUAUCUAUCUAUAUCUAUACACACACGCAUGCACGCACACACAAAUAUACACACAUACACACGUGUGUGUAUAUGUGUGUGUGUGUAUAUAUAUUCUACAUUGUCUAUUUUCGUAUGACUGUGCACUGUGGGAGUCUUCACAAUAUCUUUUAGCUGUUAUUGCUUCUUCAUGUUACUUUACUGAAAUCAGAUUUCAUGUUGCUCUUCAACAUUUUUCUACUGUGUUUUGUGACAAGUGACAUUCACGUUUGUUAUCGAUAUGUCUCCUUACGCCGCCGCGUAGUCCACAUUUUUUCCCGAAAUGACUUUGUCCCGGGACAUGCGUCGCAAAUGCUUCUCAACUGGUGGGUUUCAUCUCUUUUUCCCCCCGACACUGUCAUGUGAUAUGUCGUGAUUUAUUAUAUGUAUAUAUGUUUUGCUUCUGGUGGAUCAUUUCGUAUGGAUGUUGUUUCUCUCGUUCUAUCCCGGUUCUCUUUUUUUUUUAUAUUAUGCAUAUUUCUCCUCUUCUUUUCAACUUGAGUUCAAACUGUGACCUUUUACACUGUAAAAAUGAGAAAUUUACAGCCUUUGAAUAAUAAAAAAAAACAGUGAAAGGACUUGAA